AAGUUACUAAAUAACUCUUUCUUAUAUUUUCAAAAUAUAUGCUUUAAUGUAAUAAGCUAAGUAACU
rnacentral:tRNA from 1 species